rnacentral:rRNA from 1 species
AAUGAACGCUGGCGGCAUGCCUAACACAUGCAAGUCGAACGAAGGCCCGAUUUCGGUUGGGUCCUUAGCGGCGCACGGGUGCGUAACGCGUGGGAAUCUGCCCCUCGGUUCGGAAUAACAGUUAGAAAUGACUGCUAAUACCGGAUGAUGACGUAAGACCAAAGAUUUAUCGCCGAGGGAUGAGCCCGCGUAGGAUUAGCUAGUUGGUGUGGUAAGAGCGCACCAAGGCGACGAUCCUUAGCUGGUCUGAGAGGAUGAUCAGCCACACUGGGACUGAGACACGGCCCAGACUCCUACGGGAGGCAGCAGUGGGGAAUAUUGGACAAUGGGCGAAAGCCUGAUCCAGCAAUGCCGCGUGAGUGAUGAAGGCCUUAGGGUUGUAAAGCUCUUUUACCCGGGAUGAUAAGGACAGUACCGGGAGAAUAAGCUCCGGCUAACUCCGUGCCAGCAGCCGCCGUAA